UACAGAGGGGGCAAGCGUUAUUCGGAAUUAUUGGGCGUAAAGGGCGCGUAGGCGGCUUGGCAAGUGGAUGGUGAAAUCCCUCGGCUUAACCGAGGAACUGCCGUCCAAACUGCUUCGCUUGAGACCGGGAGAGGUGAGUGGAAUUCCCAGUGUAGCGGUGAAAUGCGUAGAUAUCAGGAGGAACACCGGUGGUGUAGACGGCUCACUGGACCGUAACUGACGCUGAGACACGAAAGCGUGGGUAGCAAACAGG
rnacentral:rRNA from 1 species